AGGUGUCUAUCUUCCCCCAUUUAAAAAAGUUGGUUUUCACUGUGAUACACAAGAAAGAAAUCCCUGCGUGGUCUGCCUGCCUGUGUGGCAGCCCCGACUGAACAGGGGCCACAUCU